GAUUUAUUGGGCGUAAGCGAGCGCAGGCGGUUUUUUAAGUCUGAUGUGAAAGCCUUCGGCUCAACCGAAGAAGUGCAUCGGAAACUGGGAAACUUGAGUGCAGAAGAGGACAGUGGAACUCCAUGUGUAGCGGUGAAAUGCGUAGAUAUAUGGAAGAACACCAGUGGCGAAGGCGGCUGUCUGGUCUGUAACUGACGCUGAGGCUCGAAAGUAUGGGUAGCAAACAGGAUUAGAUACCCUGGUAGUCCAUACCGUAAACGAUGAAUGCUAAGUGUUGGAGGGUUUCCGCCCUUCAGUGCUGCAGCUAACGCAUUAAGCAUUCCGCCUGGGGAGUACGGCCGCAAGGCUGAAACUCAAAGGAAUUGACGGGGGCCCGCACAAGCGGUGGAGCAUGUGGUUUAAUUCGAAGCUACGCGAAGAACCUUACCAGGUCUUGACAUACUAUGCAAAUCUAAGAGAUUAGACGUUCCCUUCGGGGACAUGGAUACAGGUGGUGCAUGGUUGUCGUCAGCUCGUGUCGUGAGAUGUUGGGUUAAGUCCCGCAACGAGCGCAACCCUUAUUAUCAGUUGCCAGCAUUAAGUUGGGCACUCUGGUGAGACUGCCGGUGACAAACCGGAGGAAGGUGGGGAUGACGUCAAAUCAUCAUGCCCCUUAUGACCUGGGCUACACACGUGCUACAAUGGAUGGUACAACGAGUUGCGAACUCGCGAGAGUAAGCUAAUCUCUUAAAGCCAUUCUCAGUUCGGAUUGUAGGCUGCAACUCGCCUACAUGAAGUCGGAAUCGCUAGUAAUCGCGGAUCAGCAUGCCGCGGUGAAUACGUUCCCGGGCCUUGUACACACCGCCCGUCACACCAUGAGAGUUUGUAACACCCAAAGUCGGUGGGGUAACCUUUUAGGAACCAGCCGCCUAAGGUG
rnacentral:rRNA from 2 species